rnacentral:lncRNA from 1 species
UUUUAUGGGUUACUAGUAUUACAAUAUUACUCCAUAUUGUAAUAUGUUUUAAAUACCCUACCUAUGAUUUUGAAUAUUCAUUUUAGUACCAUGUGGUUUACCAAAUUUUUAUUAUAGUAUUAUGUGGUUUUAACUUUUUCACUAAUUUAAUAAAAAAAUUAACAAAAAGUGUAACGAAAAAGAGAAGAACAAAAAUAUUAAAAUGAUACAUUUUAAACUAUAAGAUACUAAAAUUUACAAGAGUGGUACUACUAAAGUAAAAAAGAGCAACACCAAGGUCCCACUCAAAGCAAUAAUUAGUCCAUAGGGAAUUAACACCCACUGCAUGGAAAAUGUCACCUUCUCCUACUACAUUCAUGUGGCCUCACAUGCACCACUUUUAAAGUCAACACUGAUAUACCUGCUUCCAAUUAGUUACUGCAUAAACAUUUCUCAAAAAUAAGAAAGUUAUUUGUAUACCCAUAUUGAGGGUGACCUUGUUUUGAAUUUUUAAUAUAAAAAAUGAUAAGAUUAAUGUAACGAUCCAGCCCAUUAACAAUAAUAACUCGUUGGGCCCAACCACCGGUUCAAAAUGUUUAAACCCAGUUAUUAUUAUUGGUGUCUAUUUCCAAUCACAUUCCCAUUCCUAUUCAAUAUAGAAUUAUUGGAAUAUGACAAUUAAUCCUAAAAUAUUAGCCCUAU